rnacentral:rRNA from 1 species
GAGUUUGAUCGUGGCUCAGGAUGAACGCUGGCGGCGUGCUUAACACAUGCAAGUCGAACGGGAAUUAACUUAUUGAAACUUCGGUCGAUUUAAUUUAAUUCUAGUGGCGGACGGGUGAGUAACGCGUGGGUAACCUGCCUUAUACAGGGGGAUAACAGUCGGAAACGGCUGCUAAUACCGCAUAAGCGCACAGUCCCGCAUGGGACAGUGUGAAAAACUCCGGUGGUAUAAGAUGGACCCGCGUUGGAUUAGCUAGUUGGCAGGGCAAUGGCCUACCAAGGCGACGAUCCAUAGCCGGCCUGAGAGGGUGAACGGCCACAUUGGGACUGAGACACGGCCCGGACUCCUACGGGAGGCAGCAGUGGGGAAUAUUGCACAAUGGGGGAAACCCUGAUGCAGCGACGCCGCGU